rnacentral:rRNA from 1 species
UACAGAGGGUGCGAGCGUUAAUCGGAAUUACUGGGCGUAAAGCGUGCGCAGGCGGCUUUGCAAGACAGAUGUGAAAUCCCCGGGCUCAACCUGGGAACUGCAUUUGUGACUGCAAGGCUGGAGUACGGUAGAGGGGGAUGGAAUUCCGCGUGUAGCAGUGAAAUGCGUAGAUAUGCGGAGGAACACCGAUGGCGAAGGCAAUCCCCUGGACCUGUACUGACGCUCAUGCACGAAAGCGUGGGGAGCAAACAGG